GCGAAAUGCGAUACUUGGUGUGAAUUACAGAAUCCCGUGAACCAUCGAGUCUUUGAACGCAAGUUGCGCCCCAAUCCAUUAGGCCGAGGGCACGUCUGCUUGGGUGUCA
rnacentral:rRNA from 1 species